rnacentral:rRNA from 1 species
UACGGAGGGUGCAAGCGUUAAUCGGAAUUACUGGGCGUAAAGCGCACGCAGGCGGUCUGUCAAGUCGGAUGUGAAAUCCCCGGGCUCAACCUGGGAACUGCAUUCGAAACUGGCAGGCUAGAGUCUUGUAGAGGGGGGUAGAAUUCCAGGUGUAGCGGUGAAAUGCGUAGAGAUCUGGAGGAAGACCGGUGGCGAAGGCGGCCCCCUGGACAAAGACUGACGCUCAGGUGCGAAAGCGUGGGGAGCAAACAGGAUUAGAUACCCUGGUAGUCCACGCCGUAAACGAUGUCGAUUUGGAGGUUGUGCCCUUGAGGCGUGGCUUCCGGAGCUAACGCGUUAACUCGCCCGCCUGGGGAGUACGGCCGCAAGGUUAAA